GAUGAACGCUGGCUACAGGCUUAACACAUGCAAGUCGAGGGGAAACGACGGGGAAGCUUGCUUCCCCGGGCGUCGACCGGCGCACGGGUGAGUAACGCGUAUCCAACCUGCCUCUGACUGAGGGAUAACCCGUCGAAAGUCGGCCUAAUACCUCAUGGCAUCGUCUGCGGGCAUCCAACGACGAUUAAAGAUUUCUUCGGUCAGAGAUGGGGCUGCGUCUGAUUAGCUUGUUGGCGGGGUAACGGCCCACCAAGGCGACGAUCAGUAGGGGUUCUGAGAGGAAGGUCCCCCACAUUGGAACUGAGACACGGUCCAAACUCCUACGGGAGGCAGCAGUGAGGAAUAUUGGUCAAUGGGCGAGAGCCUGAACCAGCCAAGUGGCGUGCAGGAUGACGGCCCUAUGGGUUGUAAACUGCUUUUAGGCGGGGAUAAAGUGAGGGACGUGUCCUUCAUUGCAGGUACCGCAUGAAUAAGGACCGGCUAAUUCCGUG
rnacentral:rRNA from 1 species